GCAGGGAGCUACUCUGCUUCUCACUCUUAUCCAAGCUAAUUUGAUUUGGUCAAAGAGCCAAACACAAAUGAACCCUUACUAAAAUAAACAUGUCUGGAUUCUUCUUUACAGGCCCCUGGCAGGAGCUACUCCCUUUCUCCACCAGCCAGAGUACAGUCCGCGGGCCAGAAGUCAGUUUCAACUUCUUCCUCGCCAAAGCCCCCAGCACUGGGCUCCACAACUCCCUCGGCAAGGCAGACAUCCUGGGUGGAAAAAAGCCAGAAGCCCCUCACACCAUGGGAGGCUGCCUCCCAGCAUCCCAUGGGCCUGGUAGAUGAAGCUUUUGCUUUCCAGAGCCUCCAGCAAACCCUUGCCUCGAAUGUGUGCUUGGCAGCCCAGCGCAAAAUCUUGCCUGAGCCGCCAGCAGAGUGGAAAGCCAGGGUUUCUUACCAAGCACCGCAGAAAACAGGCAGCCAGACUUGGAGCCAGAGCCAAAGCCGGAGCCUGAGUCGAGCUUCGCUCCCAUCGUUUGUGUCACCAGUAAGGAGCUCUAUCUCCACCCCAGUUAGUCAUGCCGGUUACAGGUCCCUGCCCAGACAGUGGCAGCCUCAGAAAUCUGCGACAGAGGCUAACCCGAGGCCCUCGGUGUCUUCAUUUGAGUCUAAGAGCCCUUUCGGAAAGCAAACUUACAAGUCUGUGUACACCAGCAACACUUGGAGCUGGAAGCGGUAGACUACAGUUCAGCCUGUGUGGUCUUUAAUGAGUCAAAUCUCAUUUAUUCUGAGUUUCAUAAUACAUUCACAUGCAGUCAGGCCAUUUUUAAAGAAAUAAAAAAACAACAGUUUGUUAGAAAGGGGAGAAAGUUAACUGUUAGAGAACCUUUUAAUACAUUCUAUUGUUAGAUAUUUGCAUGCCAAAAUUAAAUAAGAAAAGAUGUGGAGAAAAUGGAUGGCAAACACACUGAUGUGAAAGACUAGUUGAUUAGAUAAAGAGAUGAGUAUGUUGUUUAGAGUGGCUAGAGAGAGUGCAUCGAUAUCUUUGGUGGAAAAAGCAUUUGAUUGCAUAUGUGGACUUACCCGUGAUUGGAAAGAGAUCAAAAAAAAAAGACACCUGUCAUUUUGUAGGUUUUAAGUGAAGAUUGUUUCUUGAGUUGUUCUUGAGCUUGUGGAUUCCCAGUAAUCAGAGUUUGAUAUUUUGCUGUGGAUGCAUGCAUCUGCCAUGUUGGUUGCUACCAUGGGUGUACACGUUUCUUUUUUUUUUUCUUUUUUUGCUUGUUUUGCAAAAUCCAUCAAACGUGGAAACAGGAUUUGUGGUGUUCUCUAAUAAGAAAAUGAUUCAAGUGCUAGAAUGCAAUUACUUUGGGAAAAGGUGCCAUAACCUGUGAUGUUGUUGGUGCACACUACUUUUCAGUAAUGCACGGGUAUGUGGCCCUGGUUCUGCCAGAGGUUUCUUCCUGUUAAAAGGUAGCUUUCCCUUCCCAGUGUCACCAAGUGCUUGCUCAAAGAGAGUUGUUUGAUUGUUGGGAUUUUCUCUGUAUUAUUGUAGGGUCUUUACCUUUCAGUAUAAAGUGCUUUGGGGCAACUGUUUUUGUGAUUUGGCGCUAUAUCAAUAAAAUUGAAUUGAAUAGACAUUUCAACUGUCUAGCAUCACAUGCAUAACAGUAUAUACUGUAUAGGAGACAAUCAAAUGCAGUAUGUAAAAUGACUGACAAGUUUUUGUUGGGAGUGAAUUUCAUCGACCGCUUCGUACCAAUGAAUUCUAAUCAACACUACAAAAAAGGUUUUUGUUUAGUUUAUGAAAGGUUUACUGCUGCCAGGGUGAUUGCUUACACUGUGCAAUUGGCUUGUGGCUUAUUUCUGGUUUGGGCUUUUGCUAUCAACUUGUAAUCAUCUCCAAAUGUUAAAGCUGUGUUGGUGUUUCCGCAGAGUGCGCAUAAUGUCCUAAUGCGAUUCUCACUGAGCAACCUCAUAAAUGCAAAUAAGAUUUAUUACACAGUGUUGUGUUUUAUGCAGAUGUACUAUAGUGUAGCGUAACAAUCUCUGAUUGUUUUACUGUAUCACUUCCAUUCAAACAACACAUAUUAUGGUCGUAAUACAAUACCAGCAAUCCAUUUCUGUUCCAAGCAAAGAUAUAGAUUCAUGUAAAGCAUUCUAUAAAAUAAAUGCAGUAAAAUAUCACAAUUUAAGACGUUGCCCUUUUGUGCUCUUUCCUGUCUAUUCCCAGCUUGUGUUCUGGGCCAUUUGUUGCUUGCUGUGCCAUCCCGUGAAGCUUUUUGGAAGACGUGUUGUCUCAAAUGGUCACUCCAUAUACAGCACGGGGAGUCGAGAGGGAGGCCAGUUCCCAUGGUGACCAGAUGUUACAUAAUAACAGUGGGUACCUAGUAUAGCUGAGCCAUUAGAGAAUGAGAGAUAAGGGAACAGACGGAGCCGAUAAAAAGCAAGUAUUUCCCCACCAGUUUGGAUCUGGGAAACACUUUGCGGUUCAAAUGUUUUUUAAAGGGGUGAAGCCUGCUAAAGUGCAUAGCACACGUAAUUUUAUUGUCUUGAUGCAUGCUCAAUUAUCCAAGUAAGAAAGCCCCCAAAAGUUGAUUCUGUUCAGCUGGAUGUAACUCAUCCAAGUGACUUCUUCAGUCACGCUAUGUCCAGAUGAACAGAAUCAACUUUUUGGGACAUAACUUUAUUAUUAUUCUGUGUCCCAGGCAUAGCUUUCUGUUCACUAUGCAGUGCAGUUAUGCCACUCAGCUUGAUAUCCAAUCCCUGCUUUGCUAUGUGCUGCAAACUCAGCCUGCCUUCUUAAAAAACUGGGGGAAAAUGAGACUAUAUU
ensembl:lncRNA